CAUUAAGAUGGAGUCACAGACCCAGGUCUUCAUAUUUCUGCUGUUCUGUGUAUCUGGUACUUAUGGGAAUAUUGUGAUGACCCAGUCUCCCAAAUCUCUACCUGUAUCAGUAGAAGACAAAGCCAUCAUGAGUUGUAAGUCCAGUCAGAAUGUGGGAGCAGCUAUAGCAUGGUAUCAACAGAAACCAGGGCAGGCUCCUAAACUCCUGAUCUACUCAGCAUCCACUCGGUACACUGGGGUACCUGAUCGCUUCACAGGCAGUGGAUCUGGGACUGAUUUCACUCUCACCAUUAGUAAUGUCCAGGAUGAAGACCUUGCAGAUUAUUACUGUCAGCAGUGGUAUAGCUAUCCUACCACAGUGCUUUAG